UGGUCCAGAUUAAUAUUUUUGUGUUUCUUCCUCCCUCAUCUUUCUUCUCUGUCUCUUUCUCUCUCACACGAUUACAAGUCUCUUCUCUUCUCCUUACUUCCAUAUCUUCUCUGUCUAUUCCUUCUCUUGACCUGUCUUCUUGCUCGACGCCACCUGCAGGGCUUCUCGGCGGAGUGGUAGAAGAGGUAGAGGAGAUUGAUGGAGGAGGACAGGUGGUGGUGGCUCGUAACUCAUGAGCAGAACCGGCUUGAAGGUUGAA